GGAGAUACGUAAAGAUCUCCAAGACAACAGAGACCCUCAUUUUUUGUGAAGUUGACGUGUUUGGCGUCCCCGUCUAAUCAUCAAAUGAUUUGGUGUCAUAGAUGAAAAGUUACCGUAUAAAAAUACAUGCAUUUGUGUGUGCAUCUCGGAUAAUUUAUUAUGUAUCUUUUUUUCUUUAAAUUCAUCUGGACAAGUCUUACUUAUGCCUUCAGUCAGUUCAAGCAGACAUGAAUCUUUUACAACAUACACCAUUGCAUACAAUGUAUGAUAGCACUGAAAUCUUAUACCACUGCUUUGGAAUCCGAUACCGUAACAUAUAAUCUCAUGAUUGCAAUUCAUCAUAUCAUAACAUAGUAUAUAGCAUGGUUUAACUCGCUUAUAAAUGAUUAUAUUUUAGAGAAUAAUGUUAAUAUUACAGAACAGUGGUGGGCUUUAGCUUCUUAUCAUUUUCAUUCAAAUGUGUUGAACUCUUCUGUAUAAAGAGGCGUUUUCGUGCAAUUGUCAUAGCAUACCAUAACAUAUCUUAUCGUUAAGCCUUUCAUUUCAAAGUUUCAUAGCAUAUCAUUGUAUUUGUAUAGCAUAUCCUAAAAAUAGUAUAGCAUAUCAUUAAAAUCAUAACCAUAGCAUAGCGUAAUUUUAAUUGUAAAAGAUAUGCAUGACAUGAUUAUUUACAUGUAUUUGUUCGAUAUGCAUGGCAUGAUUAUUUACAUAUUUGUUCGGUAUGUUGCGUGAUAACUCUAUCUUAUCUCAUUUACAUGUAUAAUACUACAUACACUGGAUAUAUUGACUGUGAAUCUUUCAUGUACCCUUAUAUGUAUCAACAUUUACAAAUUUCGUACGAAUCAAUUCGUGUUGGUUUCUAUUCUGUGGUAUUAAUGUGGUGUCAAUAAAUAACAACUG
rnacentral:sRNA from 1 species